rnacentral:rRNA from 1 species
AUGAUGAAGACUUACAGCAUGCCCGAGGAUUUUGGGAGGAAGCGCGCCAGCUUCUGGAUAUCAAACUUCCGCGGCUUCACCCACCAACUUGGACCUCUGAUAUUUUAUGUGAAUCAAGGUUCUCAACGAGAGAAAGAUCAACAAUCAUCACUGUGGUGUGGUCCAUUUGGACUUCCCGCAAUCGAUGGACACAAACUGGAUCCGGCCAACUCGGUGAGACUCACUCGAGAAGCUUUGGCCUUGCUGGAUAUCCCCUUGCAACAUGCGAUCGUUCUCCCAGGUCAUGGCUGGCGCCCUCCAGAACCAGCCCAGAUCAAGAUCAAUACCGACGCAGCGGUCGCUUAUGACGAAGGGAAAAGUGGAGCUGGUGGCGUGGCACGGUCACCUACGGCCCUGCUGGGUGCUUGGUGA